AUUGAACGCUGGCGGCAGGCCUAACACAUGCAAGUCGAGCGGAGCGGCGGACGGGUGAGUAAUGCCUAGGAAUCUGCCUGGUAGUGGGGGAUAACGUCCGGAAACGGGCGCUAAUACCGCAUACCAUCCGAUGAGCCUAGGUCGGAUUGGCUAGUGGGCGGGGUAAAGGCCUACCAAGGCGACGCUCCGUAACUGGUCUGAGAGGAGGGUCAGUCACACUGGAACGGAGACAAGGUCCAGAGUCCUACGGGAGGCAGCAGUGGGGAAUGUUGGACAAUGGGCGAAAGCCUGAUCCAACCAGGCCGAGUGUGUGAAGAAGGUCUUCGGAUUGUAAAUAACUUUAAGUUGGGAGGCGUUACAAACAGAAUAAGCACAGGCUAACUUCGUGCCAGCAGCCGCGGUAAUAC
rnacentral:rRNA from 1 species